rnacentral:rRNA from 1 species
UACGUAGGCAGCAAGCGUUGUUCGGAAUUACUGGGCGUAAAGAGUGUGUAGGCGGUGCUCUAAGUCUGUUGUGAAAUCUCCCGGCUUAACCGGGAGGGUGCGGUGGAAACUGGAGUGCUUGAGGGUGGGAGAGGUAAGCGGAAUUCCUGGUGUAGCGGUGAAAUGCGUAGAUAUCAGGAGGAACACCUGUGGUGUAGACAGCUUACUGGACCACUUCUGACGCUGAGACACGAAAGCGUGGGUAGCAAACAGG